rnacentral:rRNA from 1 species
UAUUAUUUAAAAUGUAAAUAUAAAUACUUAAGUAGUAGUAGUUAUGUUCUUGAAACUUAAAAAUUUUGGCGGUAUUUUAGUCUAUCCAGAGGAACCUGUUUUGUAAUCGAUAAUCCACGAUGGACCUUACUUAAAUUUGUAUUAUUCAGUUUAUAUACCGUCGUUAUUAGAAUAUUUUAUAAGAAUAAUAAUAUUCAGUAAUUUUUAUAAUAAUUUAUAUCAGAUCAAGGUGUAGCUUAUAUUUAAGAAAUGAUGGGUUACAAUAAAUUUAUUUAUAUGGAUAAAAUUAUGAAAAAGUUUUUGAAAGUGGAUUUGGUAGUAAAAUUAUAAAGAUUAAUAAUUUGAUUAUAGCUCUAAAAUAUGUACAUAUCGCCCGUCGCUCUUAUUAUUUAAGGUAAGAUAAGUCGUAACAUAGUAGAUGUACUGGAAAGUGUAUCUAGAAUGA